rnacentral:rRNA from 1 species
CUUUUUAUUUUUAAAGACCUUUUUCGGAAGGUAUGCUUAAAGAGGGGCUUGCGUCACAUUAGUUAGUUGGCAGGGUAAAGGCCUACCAAGACUAUGAUGUGUAGCUGGACUGAGAGGUUGAACAGCCACAUUGGGACUGAGACACGGCCCAAACUCCUACGGGAGGCAGCAGUAGGGAAUUUUCGGCAAUGGAGGAAACUCUGACCGAGCAACGCCGCGUGAACGAUGAAGUAUUUCGGUAUGUAAAGUUCUUUUAUUGAAGAAGAAAAAAUAGUGGAAAAACUAUCUUGACGAUAUUCAAUGAAUAAGCCCCGGCAAACUAUGUGCCAGCAGCCGCGGUAAUACAUAGGGGGCGAGCGUUAUCCGGAAUUAUUGGGCGUAAAGGGUGCGUAGGCGGUUUAAUAAGUCUAUAGUUUAAUUUCAGUGCUUAACACUGUCCUGCUAUAGAAACUAUUAGACUAGAGUGAGAUAGAGGCAAGUGGAAUUCCAUGUGUAGCGGUAAAAUGCGUAAAUAUAUGGAGGAACACCAGAGGCGUAGGCGGCUUGCUGGGUCUUUACUGACGCUGAGGCACGAAAGCGUGGGGAGCAAACAGGAUUAGAUACCCUGGUAGUCCACGCCGUAAACGAUGAGUACUAAGUGUCGGGAUUACUCGGUACUGAAGUUAACACAUUAAGUACUCCGCCUGAGUAGUACGUACGCAAGUAUGAAACUUAAAGGAAUUGACGGGACUCCGCACAAGCGGUGGAUCAUGUUGUUUAAUUUGAAGAUACACGAAAAACCUUACCAGGUCUUGACAUACUCUGCAAAGCUAUAGCAAUAUAGUGGAGGUUAUCAGGGAUACAGGUGGUGCAUGGUUGUCGUCAGCUCGUGUCGUGAGAUGUUAGGUUAAGUCCUAAAACGAGCGCAACCCUUGUCAUUAGUUGCCAGCAUGUCAUGAUGGGCACUUUAAUGAGACUGCCAAUGAAAAAUUGGAGGAAGGUGAGGAUCACGUCAAAUCAUCAUGCCCCUUAUGAUCUGGGCUACAAACGUGAUACAAUGGCUGUUACAAAGAGUAGCUGAAACGCAAGUUUAUAGCCAAUCUCAUAAAAGCAGUCUCAGUUCGGAUUGAAGUCUGCAACUCGACUUCAUGAAGUUGGAAUCGCUAGUAAUCGCGAAUCCA